GAUGAACGCUGGCGGCGUGCCUAAUACAUGCAAGUCGAGCGAACUGAUUAGAAGCUUGCUUCUAUGACGUUAGCGGCGGACGGGUGAGUAACACGUGGGCAACCUGCCUGUAAGACUGGGAUAACUUCGGGAAACCGAAGCUAAUACCGGAUAGGAUCUUCUCCUUCAUGGGAGAUGAUUGAAAGAUGGUUUCGGCUAUCACUUACAGAUGGGCCCGCGGUGCAUUAGCUAGUUGGUGAGGUAACGGCUCACCAAGGCAACGAUGCAUAGCCGACCUGAGAGGGUGAUCGGCCACACUGGGACUGAGACACGGCCCAGACUCCUACGGGAGGCAGCAGUAGGGAAUCUUCCGCAAUGGACGAAAGUCUGACGGAGCAACGCCGCGUGAGUGAUGAAGGCUUUCGGGUCGUAAAACUCUGUUGUUAGGGAAGAACAAGUACAAGAGUCACUGCUUGUACCUUGACGGUACCUAACCAGAAAGCCACGGCUAACUACGUGCCAGCCGCCGCCGUAA
rnacentral:rRNA from 1 species